AUGUGAAUUGCAAAUUCAGUGAAUCAUCGAAUCUUUGAACGCACAUUGCGCCCGCCAGCAUUCUGGCGGGCAUGCCUGUUCGAGCGUCAUUUCAACCCUCGACUUCCCUUUGGGGAAAUCGGCGUUGGGGACUGGCAGCAUACCGCCGGCCCCGAAAUGGAGUGGCGGCCCGUCCGCGGCGACCUCUGCGUAGUAAUCCAACCUCGCACCGGAACCCCGACGUGGCCACGCCGUAAAACACCCCACUUUCUGAACGUUGACCUCGGAUCAGGUAGGAAUACCCGCUGAACUUAAGCAUAUCAAUAAGCGGAGGAA
rnacentral:rRNA from 1 species